rnacentral:rRNA from 1 species
GAAGGGACCUAGCGUAGUUCGGAAUUACUGGGCUUAAAGAGUUCGUAGGUGGUUGAAAAAGUUGGUGGUGAAAUCCCAGAGCUUAACUCUGGAACUGCCAUCAAAACUUUUCAGCUAGAGUAUGAUAGAGGAAAGCAGAAUUUCUAGUGUAGAGGUGAAAUUAGUAGAUAUUAGAAAGAAUACCAAUUGCGAAGGCAGCUUUCUGGAUCAUUACUGACACUGAGGAACGAAAGCAUGGGUAGCGAAGAGGAUUAGAUACCCUCGUAGUCCAUGCCGUAAACGAUGUGUGUUAGACGUUGGAAUUAUUUUCAGUGUCGCAGGGAACCGAUAAACACACCGCCUGG